GAUGAAGAACGUAGCGAAAUGCGAUACGUAAUGUGAAUUGCAGAAUUCAGUGAAUCAUCGAAUCUUUGAACGCACAUUGCGCCUGCCAGCACUCUGGCAGGCAUGCCUGUUCGAGCGUCAUUUCAACCAUCAAGCCCUAGGCUUGCGUUGGAGCCCUGCGGCUGCCGCAGGCCCCUAAAAGCAGUGGCGGGCUCGCUAUCACACCGGGUGCAGUAGAUUACUCUUCGCUCAGGGCGUGUGGCGGGUUCCAGCCGUGAAACCCCCUACUUCUCAAGGUUGACCUCGGAUCAGGUAGGAAUACCCGCUGAACUUAAGCAUAUCAAUAAGCGGAGGA
rnacentral:misc_RNA from 1 species